UCUUAUGUACAUGCCUACAACUUUAAUGCAAUGGAUCCCAUUAGAACUCAACAGUUAAGUGUGUUUGGGAUAGGGUAGUACUCAGAUGGGUGACCUCCUGAGAAGUCUCGGUGUUUUACAUGCA
rfam:Picea glauca, whole genome shotgun sequence.